rnacentral:rRNA from 1 species
UUUUUGAUAAUAAUUUAAAGUAGGGCCUGCCCMCUGAAUUUUUGAAGGGCCGCAGUAUUUUGACUGUGCAAAGGUAGCAUAAUCAUUAGUUUUUUAAUUGAAAGCUUGUAUGAAUGGUUUGAUGAGAAAAUAUCUUUCUAUAUCUAAAUUUAGAAUAAUUUUAUUUUUAAGUUAAAAAGCUUAAAUUUUUUUAAUAGACGAGAAGACCCUAUAGAGUUUUAUUUUUAAAAGAGUUUAAAUUUUUAGAAUUUAAAACAUUUUAGUUCUUAGAAGAAUUUGAUUGGGGUGAUUAAAAAAUUAAAUAAACUUUUUUUAUAUAUUUACAUAUAUUUAUGAAUAUUUGAUCCUUUAUAAAGAUUACAAGAUUAAAUUACCUUAGGGAUAACAGCGUUAUUUUUUUUUAGAGUUCAAAUCGAAAAAAGAGAUUGCGACCUCGAUGUUGGAUUAAAGUUAAUUUUAGGUGCAGAAGCUUAAAUAUUUGGUCUGUUCGACCAUUGAAACUUUACA